rnacentral:rRNA from 1 species
UCCCUCCUUUUUUCAUCAUUAUUUAAUUUUCUUCAAUGGGCGCAAUCCUGAACGAUCAAUGCCUCGUUAACUAGGAAGGUCUUCUGAUCGUAAAGUUCUGUUGAAUUUUAAAAAGAGCGGAGAGAGGAAAUGCUUUCUGAUUGAUAUUACCCUUCGAGGAAGUCACGGCUAACUACGUGCCAGCAGCCGCGGUAAUACGUAGGUGGCGAGCGUUAUCCGGAAUGAUUGGGCGUAAAGGGUGCGUAGGCGGCCUGCUAAGUCUGGAGUGAAAGGUACCGGCUCAACCGGUACAGGCUCUGGAAACU